UAUCUUUGCGGCCUGGUUGAAAAUCAAUCAUGUACAUAAAAAUCAUUAAAAUAAUAUUGGAAUG
rnacentral:ncRNA from 1 species